UAUUCGAAUAAACCGAAUCAUGUGGAUGUGCGAAAUAAAAAACGCAGUGCAGCGAGUGAUGAUUUACUGAAAAAAGCAUCUGGCAAUGAUCGGGGGAAUGGCAAUGGUAAGCGAAUGAAGAAUGAUGUGUCGGCAAAAGCAUCUGGCAAUGAUCAGGGGAAUGGCGAUGGUAAGCAAAUGAAGAAUGAUGUGUCGGCAAAAGAUCGGGGUAGGGCUGACAAAACACCAGAGAUGAUAGAUGGAGAAAGGUGCGGAGAAA